rnacentral:sRNA from 1 species
UACUUGUGUUUUGUUUGUUCUUUUUGUUAUGAUGGUUUUGUUUCGUCUACAAUUCUACAUAUUCACCUUUUUGUUAUCUCAUCAAAUAUUAGAGUCAUGACAAUAAGAUAGCCAAAGAAGGUAAACCUGAAUCAACUCUUUCACAAGAAUUUUACCGAUUUCAAGUUUCGAUGUAAAAGCAUGUGUUUAUGGUAUUUUUUGAGGCCACACGUAUAUGUAAAAUGUCCAUUAGUUUAGUCGGUUGCUUUCAUUGUUCGUGGCUUAAGAGUUAAAAAUUCGAGUCCCACUCGGCCACUCCCAUAUAAUAUGUCCACAAUUUUGUUUUUUUCUAAUUGCCUUAAUGUUAAUGGUCCACAAUUUAUAAUUGUGCUUGGGGCCACUUCAAGUGUAGGGUGAGCACUGGUGUCAGGCCAACUUGAGUUAGCAAUCCAGUAGAUGUUAAAGUUGCGGUUAUACAUCCAUCGUUACAACUCUCUACCUUGCUCAAGAACAAAGUACAAGAAGAAGAACAGAGUAAUAGCCUUUAAACCGGCCAACAACUUGUUAACCCGAACCAAAACCGGCUUCGAUUUGAUCUUGGUUAAAAUGCAACCCGAAGCCUCUGCGUCGUCUAGAGUCUUUCACUUCCACUUAAGUUGAACCCGGCAUAACCGCAGCAUUCUGGAUUUUGUGCUAACCCAAACCCUUUAUUUGAAACAUCUCUCAACAAGUUUGCAUCAAUCUUAUGUGAGGCACCUUGUGUCCGCAUAAUGUGCACCGUUAUCAAAUGGCUUGUCAUAUCGUCGUCGAUCUUCAAGCUACAUAUGAUCUUCAUUAACUUAUUCUCAUGAAGUCAGGAUUAAGAAUAGCUUGUGUAAGUGUGUAAAUGUGUGUUAUAAAG